GCGAACGCUGGCGGCGUGCUUAACACAUGCAAGUCGAACGGCCUUCGGGUAGCAAUACCUGAGGGUAGUGGCGAACGGGUGAGUAACACGUGGGUAAUCUCCCCUCGAGUGAGGAAUAAGCUUGCGAAAGCGGGUCUAAUACCGCAUAAAGCUUCGGGACAUCAGUCUUCGAAGCCAAAGCCGUAAGGCGCUUGGGGAUGAGCCUGCGUCCUAUUAGCUAGUUGGUAGGGUAAUGGCCUACCAAGGCGAUGAUGGGUAGCCGGCCUGAGAGGGUGAACGGCCACACUGGAACUGAGACACGGUCCAGACUCCUACGGGAGGCAGCAGUGAGGAAUUUUGCGCAAUGGGCGAAAGCCUGACGCAGCGACGCCGCGUGGAGGAAGACGGCCUUCGGGUUGUAAACUCCUGUCAGAGGUGAAGAACGCCCGCAAGGGCUUGACGGUAACCUCAGAGGAAGCCCCGGCUAACUACGU
rnacentral:rRNA from 1 species